CACAAUGGGCGAAAGCCUGAUGCAGCGACGCCGCGUGCGGGAUGAAGGCCUUCGGGUUGUAAACCGCUUUCAGCAGGGACGAGGCGAAAGUGACGGUACCUGCAGAAGAAGCCCCGGCUAACUACGUGCCAGCAGCCGCGGUAAUACGUAGGGGGCAAGCGUUAUCCGGAUUCAUUGGGCGUAAAGCGCGCGUAGGCUGCCCAGUAGGUCGAGAGUUAAAUCCGGGGGCUCAACCCCCGUCCGCUCCCGAUACCGCUGGGAUUCGAGUCUGGUAGGGGAAGGUGGAAUUCCCAGUGUAGCGGUGGAAUGCGCAGAUAUUGGGAAGAACACCGGUGGCGAAGGCGGCCUUCUGGGCCAUGACUGACGCUGAGGCGCGAAAGCUAGGGGAGCGAACAGGAUUAGAUACCCUGGUAGUCCUAGCCGUAAACGAUGGGCACUAGGUGUGGGGAGGCUUUACUUUCCGUGCCGACGCUAACGCAUUAAGUGCCCCGCCUGGGGAGUACGGCCGCAAGGCUAAAACUCAAAGGAAUUGACGGGGGCCCGCACAAGCAGCGGAGCAUGUGGCUUAAUUCGAA
rnacentral:rRNA from 1 species